GACGAACGCUGGCGGCGUGCUUAACACAUGCAAGUCGAGCGGUAAGGCCCUUCGGGGUCCACGAGCGGCGAACGGGUGAGUAACACGUGAGUAAUCUGCCCAUCACUUCGGGAUAACUCCGGGAAACCGGUGCUAAUACCGAAUAUGACCACUUCAGGCAUCUGAUGGUGGUGGAAAGUUCCGGCGGUGAUGGAUGAGCUCGCGGCCUAUCAGCUUGUUGGUGGGGUAGUGGCCUACCAAGGCUUCGACGGGUAGCCGGCCUGGGAGGGUGACCGGCCACACUGGGACUGAGACACGGCCCAGACUCCUACGGGAGGCAGCAGUGGGGAAUAUUGGACAAUGGGCGAAAGCCUGAUCCAGCAACGCCGCGUGAGGGAUGACGGCCUUCGGGUUGUAAACCUCUUUCAGCAGGGACGAAGCGCAAGUGACGGUACCUGCAGAAGAAGCACCGGCCAACUACGUG
rnacentral:rRNA from 1 species